rnacentral:rRNA from 1 species
UACGGAGGGUGCAAGCGUUAUCCGGAUUCACUGGGUUUAAAGGGUGCGUAGGCGGACAGGUAAGUCAGUGGUGAAAUCUCCGGGCUUAACCCGGGAACUGCCAUUGAUACUAUUUGUCUUGAAUACUGUGGAGGUCAGCGGAAUAUGUCAUGUAGCGGUGAAAUGCUUAGAUAUGACAUAGAACACCAAUUGCGAAGGCAGCUGGCUACACAAAUAUUGACACUGAGGCACGAAAGCGUGGGGAUCAAACAGG